AAAAAAUCUUACUAAAAAGAGCUGCUGCUGUAGCAAGAACAAUGCCACAGAUUUAAUUUGUUGAUGUAGCCUCUCUGCUAACAUUUGCUGCCUUAGCCAUCUUCUCAGUUGAGACAAAGAUGUGGUCAUCUGUGUGUGUGUGUGUGUGUUUGUAUGAUUUAGAGUAUUCUACGUGUCACUCAAACACCCCUGUUCUCCCUCAGUAUCACUUCAUCCCUCUCUGCUCUCUGCUCUCUGCUCUCUGCUCUCAGACAGAGGCAGUAAAGGUGGCAUUCGUGGGGGGAAGGCGCCUGCCACGACAGGGAUUUGGGCACGCAGAGCAGCUUUAAUUAGAUGAGGCCUCAUGCCAUGUGGCUCCACAGUGUGUUUGAAAGGGAUUGUGAGUGUGUUUGUGUGUCUAUGCACAACGUCUGUGUACUCAAAGAUGUAUUUUUUUUGCAUUUAGUUUGAUAUUAAUUGACACUGUGGUCACAAAGACGUCACGCUCAAGAUGAUUUCGAGGAAACAUUUAAAUGUUUUUUUUCUCUAACAGCCUUUGCUCGAUGCCAUCUUUGUAUUUCAACAAAGAUCGUUCCUUGUUCUUUUGUAGUCAACUGGCUGGGAUUUUGCUUAAAUUCUAAACACACAUUUGGAGGUGGUGUUUAAAAGACAUCACCCUCCCACGGAGCCAGUCAGCGGGUGAGGUGGGUGUGCCAUAAGCCUGGGAGAUUGGCCAGGGAAAGGAAGGACUGGUUUGGACUGGUUUAUCAACUUGUGUAAUUCUUUUUUUUUUUUUUUCUUUAUUGGUGCCCCUCACUGGUUGCUUGACUUUAGGGAGGAUUUUACAUGCAGGCAUCACUCACGGGCCAAUCACAGCAUCGAGUACACAAAGAGAGGGUUUCUAUUGGCUUAGAAAGCAAGAGGCGGGGCAAAGGGGUCUGUUGCAACAUCACAAAAUUAAGGGUCAGGGCAAGGAUGGAAGUAAAAAAAGGCCUCAGGCCAGAAGAGUAAGAUCUUUGUUCGGGCUCAGUGGUGAACCGUCGUUCGUUUGUUUUUCGUCCAGACUUGUCAGAAUGUGGCCUGUUAUACCUCGCCUGCAGCUUGAGAGGACGGGUAGCCUUAGGGGUUGGCUGUUAUCUUUGGUUAUCUAGCUGUAUGAGUGAUGUACAUUCUUCAUAAAGCUAGAUAACCGAAAGUAACAAGAAUCCCAUUACACACCUGAAAAAGGCAUGAAGACCCCGACUGCAGUAAAGAAAAGAGACGAAUUAAACAAAAAACAAGAAUGACACAAGUGAAGGUUUCCGCGGACAUGGAAGAGGAACACAUCGACAGGCUAACACCACCAGACCAGUGAAGGAGAGCUGGCAAAAGGAGACUGGAAAACAGAAAAGGAGGGGGAGGAGGAGGGGUUGCUGUUGAUCUGCCUCCCCUCUCUCCUCACCCUCCUCUGCAUCGCCUCUUUCCUCCACCUCCUCCUCCUCCCCGCUUCCUUCUCCUCAGCUUCAUCCUUAGCAGUGCCCUUUUUCCUGUACAGCACAACGCAGCCUGCGCCACCAUCUUAGAGCAACGCUGGCAUGAAAUGGAAGUGGAAAAGACCCGUCGGUGCAGGUCUUUCCUGUCGGUGUUGAAGGAGCAAACAAUGAGCGGAGCAGCCUCCACACACAACCAGCCUGGACUAAAUGUUGAUGGUGAUGCAGAAGUCCACCUCAGCAGGUCCAUGUGAAGGACAAGUGGUGUUUACUGGUGCUACACACUGUAUGGCCAAAAUUAAACAGUAAAAGUUCCAUUUCCACUUUGAACUCAAACAAGUCCUACAUCCAGAUGAAGGCUGGAGUGACCUGGAAGAGUCAAGUUAGACUGUGAAAAAGGGAAACAAGGAGGUGAAGAUCAGCGUCAACUGUUGAUGGACUGUGACGCUUUCAUCUAUAUUUGAUACCAUUGUCCAUUUGUACUCAAAUACUCCAUGUUACAAAUGAUGUAUCUCAAUUAGAGUUCAUCCAUUGUAGUCGAUUUUUGAGGUUUUUUUGUACGGUAGUUGCAUUUUUUUUUCUAGUUGCUAGGACUCAAAGACACGAGAAUGUGAGACCCACGGCAGCAGUGAAUAAUUCUGCACUGUGAUUGGACAGCUCCAUGUGUCCGCUGACACAAUGGUGAAGGAGUGAGCUGUCGUCUUUAUACUCUAUGCAACUGUUUAUUUUUGUUUUUUUCCAUUUUUUUAUUUUCGCUCUUCAUUCUCAGUUGUGUGUUGUCUCGUUUAUCCUUUAUUUACAGUUUUGGGAUAUAUUUAAAAAAAAUGAUGUCAAAGAGCCUGCAGCUUCAGUGUCGAUAUGCUGAUGCAGAUGGUGAAGUCACUGUGUGACAGAUGACAGAACGAAGCUCGGUUUCAUCAGCAGAUUUUCAUAUUUGCAGCCACCGUCAGAGUAAACGUGGACUCACACAUUUAAUAUUCCUGACAGUAGACGUGUAUUUGAUCAGCAGGGCAGAGUUGCUGAGCAAGUUGUGGCUUUGUGUGUGUACACAACACGGCACACUAUUAAAACUUUCCCAGCAGGCUUUGUGGCACUGCAGUGUGCUUCAAGUCAUCUGCUCUGCCGUAAUGUCACGUCCGUAUAGAAAGAGACGACAAAUACAUGAACUUCACACACACAUGCAUUAAUUUCCUGUACCUGACAUGCACACACACACACACAAAAGGCAAGAGCUAUCAAUGCUUAAUUCCUUCUAAUAUUAAUUUUUGGAUUGUGGCAAUUUUUUUUUUCUUUAUUACCACUGAUAAUCUAUGCAAAUCUUUUAAAUAUUACUUUAAACAAUCAAUGUCUAUAAAGAGCCUUUGCAAUACAUUAAAAGGGAGAGUCACGUGGUCUAAUUGAGGAAACGUAUUCUUUUGAUAAUCAUGCACAUCCCAGUGCUCCAGACAAUUACUUAUCUGCCUGGAUACGCUUGAAAUGAUGGUUGUAAUCUCUUACAAAAGAAGAAGAAAGAAUCUUUUUUUUCCCCCUGAAAUCAGUCCAGCCUCAUGAAAAUGUGAAUUUUGAUCUAUGUAUUGCACUAAACUUUAUUUUUAUCCCCCUUAAACAAAGACCAAAAGGACUGAGUCAAUCAUUUUAUUAUAUUUUAUGUCCGUUCUCUUUUUAACUUACAGAUAUGUUUGUAUUUUGCAGUCUUGAAUCUACCUUAUGUGCCUUUUCCAUGUAACCACAUGGGAACACAAAUAAAAGUUUACAUUGAAAA